GACGAACGCUGGCGGCGUGCCUAAUACAUGCAAGUUGAGCGCUGAAGGUUGGUACUUGUACCAACUGGAUGAGCAGCGAACGGGUGAGUAACGCGUGGGGAAUCUGCCUUUGAGCGGGGGACAACAUUUGGAAACGAAUGCUAAUACCGCAUAAAAACUUUAAACACAAGUUUUAAGUUUGAAAGAUGCAAUUGCAUCACUCAAAGAUGAUCCCGCGUUGUAUUAGCUAGUUGGUGAGGUAAAGGCUCACCAAGGCGAUGAUACAUAGCCGACCUGAGAGGGUGAUCGGCCACAUUGGGACUGAGACACGGCCCAAACUCCUACGGGAGGCAGCAGCAGGGAAUCUUCGGCAAUGGACGAAAGUCUGACCGAGCAACGCCGCGUGAGUGAAGAAGGUUUUCGGAUCGUAAAACUCUGUUGGUAGAGAAGAACGUUGGUGAGAGUGGAAAGCUCAUCAAGUGACGGUAACUACACAGAAAGGGACGGCUAACUACGUG
rnacentral:rRNA from 1 species